UACAAUGAAGUGAAGAGAACCAAC
rnacentral:siRNA from 1 species